ensembl:snRNA U6 U6 spliceosomal RNA
GUGCUCGCUUCAGUAGCACAUAUACAAAAAUUGGAACUGUGUGGAGAAGAUUAGCAUGACUCCUGCACAAGGAUGAGAUCUUCUCUUCUCUAGUUAGCUGUAUUCCCAGGUAUUUCAUUUUUUU